rnacentral:rRNA from 1 species
GAGCAACGCCGCGUGAGGGACGAAGGCCUCUGGGCUGUAAACCUCUUUUCUCAAGGAAGAAGACAUGACGGUACUUGAGGAAUAAGCCACGGCUAAUUCCGUGCCAGCAGCCGCGGUAAUACGGGAGUGGCAAGCGUUAUCCGGAAUUAUUGGGCGUAAAGCGUCCGCAGGCGGCCUUGAAAGUCUGUUGUUAAAGCGUGGAGCUCAACUCCAUUUAAGCAAUGGAAACUACAAGGCUAGAGUGUGGUAGGGGCAGAGGGAAUUCCCGGUGUAGCGGUGAAAUGCGUAGAUAUCGGGAAGAACACCAGUGGCGAAGGCGCCCUGCUGGGCCAUAACUGACGCUCAUGGACGAAAGCCAGGGGAGCGAAAGGGAUUAGAUACCCCUGUAGUCCUGGCCGUAAACGAUGAACACUAGGUGUCGGGAGAAUUAACCCUUCCGGUGUCGUAGCCAACGCGUUAAGUGUUCCGCCUGGGGAGUACGCACGCAAGUGUGAAACUCAAAGGAAUUGACGGGGGCCCGCACAAGCGGUGGAGUAUGUAGUUUAAUUCGAUGCAACGCGAAGAACCUUACCAGGGUUUGACAUCCUGCGAAUCCCUUGGAAACGAGGGAGUGCCUUCGGGAACGCAGUGACAGGUGGUGCAUGGCUGUCGUCAGCUCGUGUCGUGAGAUGUUGGGUUAAGUCCCGCAACGAGCGCAACCCACGUCUUUAGUUGCCAGCAUUCAGUUGGGCACUCUAGAGAGACCGCCGGUGAUAAACCGGAGGAAGGUGUGGAUGACGUCAAGUCAUCAUGCCCCUUACAUCCUGGGCUACACACGUACUACAAUGCUACGGACAAAGGGCAGCAAACUCGCGAGAGCUAGCAAAUCCCAUAAACCGUGGCUCAGUUCAGAUCGUAGGCUGCAACUCGCCUACGUGAAGGAGGAAUCGCUAGUAAUCGCAGGUCAGCAUACUGCGGUGAAUACGUUCCCGGGCCUUGUACACACCGCCCGUCACACCAUGGAAGUUGGCCAUGCCCGAAGUCGUUACUCCAACCCGCAAGGGAGGAGGACGCCGAAGGUGGGGCUGAUGACUGGGGUGAAGUCGUAACAAGGUAGCCGUACCGGAAGGUG